CCCUUAGAUGUCCGGGGCCGCACGCGCGCUACACUGAAGGAAUCAGCGUGGCUUUCUCCCUGACCCGAGAGGGUUGGGAAACCCGUUGAAUCUCCUUCGUGAUAGGGAUUGGGGCUUGAAAUUGUUCCCCAUGAACGAGGAAUUCCCAGUAAGCGCGAGUCAUAAGCUCGCGUUGAUUACGUCCCUGCCCUUUGUACACACCGCCCGUCGCUACUACCGAUUGAACGGUUUAGUGAGGGCCUCGGAUUGGUCUCGGCCCGCUCUUUACCGGGCGGCGCCGUUGGUCGAGAAGACGCUCGAACUUGAUCGUUUAGAGGAAGUAAAAGUCGUAACA
rnacentral:rRNA from 1 species